rnacentral:rRNA from 1 species
GCGCGAGCAGGUGCGAAAGCAGGUCAUAGUGAUCCGGUGGUUCUGAAUGGAAGGGCCAUCGCUCAACGGAUAAAAGGUACUCCGGGGAUAACAGGCUGAUACCGCCCAAGAGUUCAUAUCGACGGCGGUGUUUGGCACCUCGAUGUCGGCUCAUCACAUCCUGGGGCUGAAGUAGGUCCCAAGGGUAUGGCUGUUCGCCAUUUAAAGUGGUACGCGAGCUGGGUUUAGAACGUCGUGAGACAGUUCGGUCCCUAUCUGCCGUGGGCGCUGGAGAAUUGAGGGGGGCUGCUCCUAGUACGAGAGGACCGGAGUGGACGCAUCACUGGUGUUCGGGUUGUCAUGCCAAUGGCACUGCCCGGUAGCUAAAUGCGGAAGAGAUAAGUGCUGAAAGCAUCUAAGCACGAAACUUGCCCC